AUUGAACGCUAGCGGGAUGCUUUACACAUGCAAGUCGAACGAGUGGCGGACGGGUGAGUAAUAUAUCGGAACGUGCCCAGUAGCGGGGGAUAACUACUCGAAAGAGUUGCUUAUACCCCCUACUAUUGCAGCGGCCGAUAUCGGAUUAGCUAGUUGGUGGGGUAAAGGCUCACCAAGGCAACGAUCCCUAGCUGGUUUGAGAGGACGACCAGGCACACUGGGACUGCGAAACGGCCCAGACUCGUACGGGAGGCAGCAGUGGGGAAUUGUGGACAAUGGGGGAAACCCUGAGCCAGCAAUCCCGCGUGUAUGAGAAGGCCAUCGGGUUGUAAAGUACUUUAGGCAGAGAAGCGGGAGGGGGAGAAUAAGCACCGGCUAACUACGUGCCAGCAGCCGCGGUAAUAG
rnacentral:rRNA from 1 species